CCUACGGGUGGCAGCAGUGAGGAAUAUUGGUCAAUGGUCGGGAGACUGAACCAGCCAAGCCGCGUGCGGGAUGAAGGUACAGAGUAUCGUAAACCUCUUUUGUCAGGGAACAAAGGCGGGGACGUGUCCCCGGAUGAGUGUACCUGAAGAAAAAGCAUCGGCUAACUCCGUGCCAGCAGCCGCGGUAAUACGGAGGUUGCGAGCGUUAUCCGGAUUUAUUGGGUUUAAAGGGUGAGCAGGCGGUCUGUUAAGUCAGCGGUAAAAUUGAGAGGCUCAACCUCUUCGAGCCGUUGAAACGGGUUGUCUUGAGUGAGUGAGAGGUAGGCGGAAUGCGUGGUGUAGCGGUGAAAUGCAUAGAUAUCACGCAGAACUCCGAUUGCGAAGGCAGCAUACCGGCGCUCAACUGACGCUCAUGCACGAAAGUGUGGGUAUCGAACAGGAUUAGAUACCCGAGUAGUC
rnacentral:rRNA from 1 species